CCCUUAGAUGUUCUGGGCCGCACGCGCGCUACACUGAUCAGUGCAACAAGCAUCCGUCCUUGGCCGACAGGCCCGGGCAAUCUUUGAACGCUGAUCGUGAUGGGGAUAGACUUUUGCAAUUUUUGGUCUUCAACGAGGAAUUCCUAGUAAACGCAAGUCAUCAACUUGCAUUGAUUACGUCCCUGCCCUUUGUACACACCGCCCGUCGCACCUACCGAUUGAAUGGUCCGGUGAAGCCUCCGGAUUGGCGUGCACCCUCGGGUGCUGCCGAGAAGUUGGCUAAACCUUACCAUUCAGAGGAAGGUGAAGUCGUAACA
rnacentral:rRNA from 1 species